rnacentral:rRNA from 1 species
ACGCACGCUGGCGGCAUGCCUCACACCUGCAAGUCGAACGAGACCUUCGGGUCUAGUGGCGCACGGGUGCGUAACGCGUGGGAACCUGCCCUUAGGUUCGGAAUAACUCCCCGAAAGGGGUGCUAAUACCGGAUAAUGUCUUCGGACCAAAGAUUUAUCGCCUUUGGAUGGGCCCGCGUUGGAUUAGCUAGUUGGUAGGGUAAAAGCCUACCAAGGCGACGAUCCAUAGCUGGUCUGAGAGGAUGAUCAGCCACACUGGGACUGAGACACGGCCCAGACUCCUACGGGAGGCAGCAGUGGGGAAUAUUGGACAAUGGGCGAAAGCCUGAUCCAGCAAUGCCGCGUGAGUGAUGAAGGCCUUAGGGUUGUAAAGCUCUUUUACCCGGGAUGAUAAUGACAGUACCGGGAGAAUAAGCUCCGGCUAACUCCGUG